UACGUAGGGUGCAAGCGUUAAUCGGAAUUACUGGGCGUAAAGCGUGCGCAGGCGGCUUUGCAAGACAGAUGUGAAAUCCCCGGGCUUAACCUGGGAACUGCAUUUGUGACUGCAUGGCUGGAGUGCGGCAGAGGGGGAUGGAAUUCCGCGUGUAGCAGUGAAAUGCGUAGAUAUGCGGAGGAACACCGAUGGCGAAGGCAAUCCCCUGGGCCUGCACUGACACUGAGGCACGAAAGCGUGGGGAGCAAACAGG
rnacentral:rRNA from 1 species